UGGGGAAUAUUGGACAAUGGGCGCAAGCCUGAUCCAGCAAUGCCGCGUGUGUGAAGAAGGCCUUCGGGUUGUAAAGCACUUUUAUCAGGAGCGAAACGCUGUCGGCUAAUACCCGGCGGAACUGACGGUACCUGAGGAAUAAGCACCGGCUAACUUCGUGCCAGCAGCCGCGGUAAUACGAAGGGUGCAAGCGUUAAUCGGAAUUACUGGCCGUAAAGCGUGCGUAGGCGGUUUCUUAAGUCUGCUGUGAAAUCCCCGGGCUCAACCUGGGAAUGGCAGUGGAUACUGGGAGGCUAGAGUGUGUCAGAGGGUGGUGGAAUUCCCGGUGUAGCGGUGAAAUGCGUAGAGAUCGGGAGGAACAUCAGUGGCGAAGGCGGCCACCUGGGACAACACUGACGCUGAGGCACGAAAGCGUGGGGAGCAAACAGGAUUAGAUACCCUGGUAGUCCACGCCCUAAAGCGAUGCGAACUGGAUGUUGGUCUCAACUCGGAGAUCAGUGUCGAAGCUAACGCGUUAAGUUCGCCGCCUGGGGAGUACGGUCGCAAGACU
rnacentral:rRNA from 1 species